GUCUCUCUCUACCUCUUUCUUCUUCCUUCUCAACAAAAGACUAACUCAGACCAAACAAAUCAUGCUACCUUGUUCUACUUCUUUCUUCUUUCAUAUCGAUAAUCUGCAGAAAUCGAAUAUCGAAUUUGUGAAGGAAUGAUGUAGUUCUCUUGGAAGUUAGUAGGGAUGAGUCUUUUCAUCAGGGUUCUGAAGACAACCAAACAUGAACUUAAGGCUCAAACAUGAAACAAUCAAAGUUCCGAGACUCUGAAAGCCGGUGUGUAGCCAGUAUACAUUUUCCUCCGAAGCGAUUAUUUCAUUUGAUGAAUGAACUCCCAAAAAUCUUUCAAGUUGUUAGUGGAGAUGUAAAGAAGCAACAAGUUAAGGAGAAAUCUUCAAUUUCAAAUCAUAGCAGCAACAAAUACAUGCCCCUUUCUAAAACAGUAAAAAUCUUGAUUUUAAAGUAGUUAUCUAAUGUUUGUAUCCUAUGAAUCCUAUUGCGUCGGCUUAGGAUGUAUGCAGUUAGUACCUUGGGGUUGCUCUUGUAAAAAGCCAACUUUCAGUUUUGUUAUCCUUUGCUUUUUUAAGCACUUGCAUUUAUUUGUUCGUUUUGAAAACUGAAGCAGCUAUUAGCUAGCCCACCUUAGGAUGAGCAUGGGGAUACUUUGUGUGGUAUGUGGGGUGAGAACUAUGCAUCAGAUGAGUUUUAGAUAUGAGGUAUGGUUCCAUGGAAAAUGUGUGAAGAUAACUCCAGCUAGGUCUGUACAUAUCAGCAAUACAAAAGUCCAUCUUGCGCCAACAAGGGAUCACGCUAGUGAGAUGGCGUGAAGGUAAACCAACUUGUAUUUGAGGAGCUGAUGCCUGAAAGGCGUCCCACAUUGGGUUUGUCUUUGUUUAAUCCUACUUAUGUAAGUAUCUUCUUAGUGGCUUUAUAUCAUUGCAAAUUUUUAGACGUUCUUUAUGCCAAAGUCAUAUGAUAAGGCAGUAGUCAUAUUGACAUUUUGUUGGUUAAUAUUUUAUAAGACACAAAGUUCACGGCUGUGCAGAAUUCAACUCCCGAGUUUACGAUCCGUACUCACCACCCAACUCGUAGAUUUCCAUGCUCUUAAUCAUUUUUUUCCAAUUUUGUUAUUCAAUUGAUUACAUAGUUUUUGUGCUCAUGGAAUAGUAUUUGUUUGAUGAUGAUGAUGCAGUAGGGAUAAUUGAGAAAACUUUUAAGGGAAGAUUUGCUGAAUGUAUGGCCUGACAGAAAAGAAUGUAUGAAGAAAGGAUUAAAUCAAAGGAUUAUUCUUCUUCUUCUCGUGGGAGGACACUGAUCCUUCCUUAGAAGUCCCAACUGAUUCAGUUUCACAAGAAAACUUUGUGGAAUCAUUUUGGAACAGGAUAUCGUCAUUUCUCAUUCAUCAGGUUCUUCAUCAUCUUGGCCGUAUUUACUAGACGAGAAUUCAGCAUCCUCGUCUGAUCAUCCUCUCAAAGCCACAAUAAUUUGCUGCAUUCUAAUUACUGAUCACUGUAAGAGAUUGUAACAUUCUGUUUCUAUAUGCAAUCCUUAGAAGCUAAAACAAACAUAGUAGCACCAUCACAAUGUAAGCAACAAGAACAUAUUUGCAUACGCAAUCUUUCAGUUGUACAAUUUGACACUUGAUUUUCUUUCAGUUGUACAAUUUGACACUUGAUUUUCUUAAUGUAACCUGUAACAUUUCCUUUAUGUCAUGAGUUCCCUGCUUUUUAUUGUAUUUGGUUCCCUUUCUUUGUAGAAUGUCUUUGAGGUGUAAACCUGUGGGAA